rnacentral:rRNA from 1 species
GACGAACGCUGGCGGCGUGCUUAACACAUGCAAGUCGAACGAAGAGCGAUGGAAGCUUGCUUCUAUCAAUCUUAGUGGCGAACGGGUGAGUAACGCGUAAUCAACCUGCCCUUCAGAGGGGGACAACAGUUGGAAACGACUGCUAAUACCGCAUACGAUCUAGUCUCGGCAUCGAGGAAAGAUGAAAGGUGGCCUCUAUUUAUAAGCUAUCACUGAAGGAGGGGAUUGCGUCUGAUUAGCUAGUUGGAGGGGUAACGGCCCACCAAGGCGAUGAUCAGUAGCCGGUCUGAGAGGAUGAACGGCCACAUUGGGACUGAGACACGGCCCAGACUCCUACGGGAGGCAGCAGUGGGGAAUCUUCCGCAAUGGACGAAAGUCUGACGGAGCAACGCCGCGUGAGUGAUGACGGCCUUCGGGUUGUAAAGCUCUGUUAAUCGGGACGAAAGGCCUUCUUGCGAACAGUUAGAA